rnacentral:rRNA from 1 species
UUGAACCUGAGAGUUUGAUCCUGGCUCAGAACGAACGCUGGCGGCAUGCCUAACACAUGCAAGUCGAACGAGGGCUUCGGCCCUAGUGGCGCACGGGUGAGUAACACGUGGGAACCUGCCUUUCGGUUCGGGAUAACGUCUGGAAACGGACGCUAACACCGGAUACGUCCCCCAGAGA